AUUGAACGCUGGCGGCAGGCCUAACACAUGCAAGUCGAACGAGUGGCGGACGGGUGAGUAAUGUCUGGGAAACUGCCUGAUGGAGGGGGAUAACUCCUGGAAACGGUAGCUAAUACCGCAUACCAUCAGAUGUUCCCAGAUGGGAUUAGCUAGUUGGUGGGGUAAAGGCUCACGAAGGCAACGAUCCCUAGCUGGUCUGAGAGGAUGACCGGCCACACUGGAACUGAGACACGGUCCAGACUCCUACGGGAGGCAGCAGUGGGGAAUAUUGCACAAUGGGCGCAAGCCUGAUGCAGCCAUGCCGCGUGAAUGAUGAAGGCCUUCGGGUUGUAAAGUACUUUCAGCAGGGAGGCGGUACCCGCAGAGGAAGCACCGGCUAACUCCGUGCCAGCAGCCGCGGUAAUAC
rnacentral:rRNA from 1 species